UGUUAAAAAUUUCAUUCAUUUCCACUGUUAGAAGCUAGCAUGGCAGAUGAAGUAAUUAGAUAAUUACACAUGGCGUGUCGCGUGUACCUCAUUCUAGCAUACAUGGACUAGUUUUUAACAAUAAAAAUAGAUGGAAUUUUAAAUA
rfam:Gossypium hirsutum cultivar TM-1 unplaced genomic scaffold scaffold2908.1, whole genome shotgun sequence